CGCUUACCUGUGAUGUCCAAAAAUAAAUGUCUGAACAAAUGACUGUCCAGUGAUAAUAAAUUGUAAACUGAGGUAAGCC